rnacentral:rRNA from 1 species
UACAUGGGGUGCAAACGUUGCUCGGAAUUAUUGGGCGUAAAGCGCGCGUAGGCGGUUAUCUAAGUCGGAUGUGAAAGCCCUCGGCUUAACUGAGGAAGUGCACCCGAAACUGGAUAGCUAGAGUACGAAAGAGGGUCGCGGAAUUCCCGGUGUAGAGGUGAAAUUCGUAGAUAUCCGGAAGAACACCAGUGGCGAAGGCGACUCACUGGACACGUAUUGACGCUGAGGUGCGAAAGCGUGGGGAGCAAACAGG